AGAUCAAACCUGCAUCCUCAUGGAUACUAGUCGAAUUCGUAACCCUCUGAGCCACAGUGGGAACUCUAACCAGUGACAUUUUAAAAAACAGUUUGAUGAGACUAAUUUCAAGAGAAUGACAAAAGAAACUACGUUGUUGAAGUUUUUCAUUAGUAACCUAAAGCUUACCUUUUUAAAGAACCAAACUGCAGACUUACUAGUGAAAUAAAUAAAAAGGUCAUACUUGAUGGAGAUAUUUAACAUCGAAAAUUAUUGUUCACCAUCUCCUCAUCUUAUUUCUUUGGUUCAGCCCUAAAUCCCUAGCACCUAGACUGGUGCCUGGCACAUAAUAGGCACUCAUUCAGUAUUAUAUAAAUUAAUUAACAGAUUGCAAGAUAACCAUUUUAGCUCAGUUAUUAUCAUCAUUUUAUUCUGUACAUAAGAUAAUUACUGAUAUUUAUGAAAUACAUAUAUUCUGCAACUUUCUCUUUUCACUUAGUAUGUCUUGAACAUCUUUUUAUGAUGGUAUAUGUAGAUCUGUCUCAUUUUAAAUGGUUGCAUAGUAUUCUGUUUUAUGCAUCUCCUAUACUUAAUGUAAUUUCCCCCUGUUUAUUUAUUUGGUUACACCUGCAGUAUACAGAAGUUCCCGGGCCAGGGAUUGAACCCGAGCCAUAGCAGUGGCAAUGCCGAAUCCUUAACUGCUAGGCCAUCAGGGGACCCCCCCCCAUUUAUUUUUGUGAACUUAUGUUUCAGUAAGAUAUAAUCUUAGAAAAGAAUGUGCCAAAACAAAGGAUAUGAACCUUUAAAUCUUAAUAGGCAUUGCCAAAUUGACCUCCAAACCAAAAAGAUAUAAAAAUUCCACUAUAUGUAAGUGCCUAUUUUACCAUACCCUGUUCAACACUGGAUAUUAUCAGAAAUUAUUUUUAAUUUGAGCCACAUUAAAUAAAUCAUACUUUCUCAUUUCAUUUUGCAUCUUAUUUGAUUAUUAGUGAGGUUAUAUAUCCAUGCAUUAUUGGCCUUGUGUUUUCCAAAUUUUCUUUUGGGAUAUUUAUUGUCUCCUUGUGGUCUGUAUGAUCUCUUUAUAUAUUCUAGAUGAUAACUCCAUGACUAUAUCUUGCAAGUAUUUUCUCCCUAUUUUUUAACAUUGAUUAUAUUGUCUUUCAUUGUUUAUAUACAGAAGUUUUCAUUUUUAAAUGGUCACAUUUGCCUUCUGGGUUUCUUGUUUUAGUUAGAAAAUUCUUACUUGAACCAAGCUUAUGAAAAUAACCUCUUACAUUUUCUUACACUUUCAUUGUUUUGUUUUUUGCAUUUAGGUUUAUGAUCUACUUGGAAUUUUAGUACCUGUUAUGAUGUAGAAAUCUAACUUUUCUUUGAAAAUGGAUAGCCUGUUGUUCCAGUCUUUACUUAUUGAAUAAAUAAAACCAAUUCAUUCCCAUUCAUUUGAGAUCCCUCUUUUAGCAUAUAUAAAAUAGCCUUAUAGCCCUAGUGUUAGUUUCUAGGACUCCCCUAACAAAGUACCAUGAACUACAUGGCUUAAACAAUGGAAAUUUAUUCUCUCAUAGUUCAGAAGAGUAGAACUUUGAAAUCAAGGUGUCAGCAGAGCCAUAUUCUCUCUGAAGUUUCUAAGGGAGGAUCCUUCUUUUCCUCACCCAUCUUCUGGUGGCUGACGGCAGUCCUUGGCAUUCCUUGGCUUGUAGACACAUCACUCCAAUCUCUACCUCCAUUGGUCACAGGGCGUUCUCCCUGUGUGCACAUCUGUGUCCAAAUUUCCCUCUUCUUAGUAAGGACACCAGUCAUUGGAUUGGGGCCCACCUUAUUCCAAUAUGACUUCACUUUAAUAUUAUCACAUCUGCAAAAACUGUUUUCAAGUAAGAUCACAUUCACGGGUAAUGGAUAUUAAAACUUGAACAUACCUUUUUGGAAGACACAGUUCAACAACCCACAAUACCCCUGAACAUUUUAACUUUACAUACAUUUUCACUUAUUGUACAUUUAUUUUGAUUGUUUUUUUUUAUGUAUGGCAGGGCAAGCCUUCAUACCUUUUUACUUUUCAAAAUUGUAGUCUUACACAUUUUCUAGAAUCAGUUUAUCAAACACUUCUGAUAAUUUUUUUUUAAUUAGUCCCUGGGCCAGGGAUCCAACCUGCACCACAGCAGCUACCUGAUCUGCUGCAGUGGCAGUGCAGGAAUCUUAACCCACUAUGCCAUGAGAGAACUCCCACUCCUAAACAUUUUAUUGUAAUUUUUAUUCAAAUUGCAUUAAAUUUACAAAUUAACAUAAGGAAAAUUAUUUUAAUAAUGUUGUCUUCACUUCCAAGAACAUUCAUUUAUUCUGACUUCUUUUAUAUCCUUUAUUGAGAUUUUAUGGUUUUUUAAUAUGGUUUGUACAUCUCUUAUUAAAAUAAUUCAUGAGUAUUUUGUAGUUUUUGUUCUCUUGUAAGUGGAAUUUAUUUUUUGCUAUGUCUUCCAUCUGGUUCUUGCUAAUAUAUAAAAAAGUUAUGUUUUGUAUGCCUUUUAAUAUAUUUGGAGAGUUAAUUUUUCAGAAAUCAAACAAAUUUUCAUGAAUGUUAGAUCACUUAUGAAGAAGUGAGAUCAUUGUACUCCUCCUCUCAGAACCCUUCAAACUAAACUUGAGAAAACCUCCCUCAAGAUAGAGCAAGACAAA